UUCUACAAUAUUUUUUGGUGUGAAUUUUUGUUAAGCCAUGGCUUCUCACCAUGCAUCUGAGUUCGACUCACUCAACUCGACUCCGCGCUCCUCAGACCACGAAGAGCCUCGUGUCCGUUUCAUGUGCAGCUUCGGGGGCAAAAUUUUGCCCCGUCCGCACGAUGAUCAGCUCCGUUAUGUUGGUGGCGACACUCGGAUUGUCGCCAUCAACAGACACACUUCCUUCUCAUCACUACUCGAAAAACUUGCGAAAUUUUCGGGGACGACAAAUAUUAGCAUGAAAUAUCAGCUCCCGAAUGAAGAUCUGUUGGAUUAUUUUUAAUAAUCUAAACAUUUAAAAUUGUUUUUAUAUUUCUGCUUGAAUAAGUGAGCUGGUGUUUGUAUGCAGCUUGAAUAGGUCGUAGUAGUUGAGGUGGUUUAGGAGUCGUAGUUGUUAAGUUGGUUUAGGAGAGUCGAGAAGAUCAGGACUGCAGUUCCUGGUUUCUAGUGAUCAUGUUAGUUUAUUUAUCUUCAGCAUGUAGUUAGUAAUUUUUAUCUCUUCAGUUUUGUAAGUUUUCCAUUCAGAAAUAUCAAUCAAGCAUUCUUUCAGAAGUUCUUUGCUUAUACAUUUUGAUUUGCAUUCUUCAUUUGGUAUCAGAGCGAGCACACUCAGUUAAUCAAAAAAUGGACGCCAGCAAGGGAAAAGAAAGCUCUUUCGGUUUAAGCUACCCACUGUUAACAAAGACUAACUACACGGCAUGGGCCUUGAAGAUGAAAGUUUUUAUGCAAGCACAUGGUGUAUGGGAGUCAAUAGAACCUAAGGAUCCUAAGGUGGCCGUUGAAGAUAAGAUGGAUAAACGAGCGCUGGCUAUCAUUUACCAAGGAAUCUCCGAGGACCUGUUGCUGUCAAUCGCAGAGAAAAAGACAUCCAAGGAAGCAUGGGAGGCGAUUAAGACAGUACACCUGGGUGCAGAUAAAGUGAAGAAAGCGAAGGCUCAGACUCUCAAGGUUGAGUUUGAGACUCUCACUAUGAAAGAGACGGAGCAGCUUGAUGAAUUCUGCAUGAGAUUGAACAGCUUGGUGACAAACAUCCGAGCUCUGGGAGAGAAAAUUGAAGAAGCUUACGUGGUGAAAAAACUCCUUCGAGCUGUACCCACUAAAUUUCUGCAGAUAGCGUCAGCCAUUGAACAGUUUGGCAACUUGGAGGUGAUGUCUGUAGAGGAAGUCGUAGGAUCCCUGAAGGCACAUGAGGAAAGAUUACGUGGGCCAGUGGAGAGCAGUGGUGAACAGCAACUUCUUCUUACGGAAGAAGAGUGGAUGAAGAGGGAAGGUAAGGAUGGUCAGUUACUUCUCACGCGAGAAGAAUGGUUAAAAAGGACGAACAGAAAAGGUAAAGAAUUUACUCGUGGUGCACGG
rnacentral:lncRNA from 1 species